CUGAGGCUGAAAUUCUGCAGUUUCAUGUUCAGGGAUGAGUCCUUCAGCAAGACACCUAACCUCUAGCUGUUAAAGAAACAAGAGGCAGGAGACUGGGCUGCAGCAGCAUGAAGCCUCUAGACUGACUUCAAUGUAAAGGACUCUGGACAAAUUUUACAGAAAUAAAGUCGCUAAGAGGGUCUGAAAAGUUGCUAAAUCUAGCGAGAAAGUCGCCAAGUUGGCAACACUGUCUGCAAAGCAAU